rnacentral:lncRNA from 1 species
AAAUCGAGCCCUAAUUCCCCUAUAAAAGUUUGUCGUUGUCGCCGCUGAAGGGCUAGGCAAGGGUGGUGCUCGUCUGUCGACUCCUGGCGCUACCAUCCCUCUCUCUAAAAUCCAAUGACGUCGUUUCCGGUAGCUUCCGAAAAUUGGUGAGGCCGUUGUUCUAUGCCUCGCCCCUUUCUCCUGAAAACGCAGUUGCCUCUAUGUUAUUACCGAUGACACUUCUUUUCGUCCGGCGAUUAGGAGGGCCCACUUAGAAAUUAAAAGAAAAAAAAAAUUCAGUUAACUUGCGCGUAUAUCCCCCCAUUCUCGACCUCGGCUCAAAUACACCCUCAGAGUCCAUAAAAAGGGUGCAUUUAAACCC